GAUGAACGCUGGCGGCGUGCCUAAUACAUGCAAGUCGAGCGAACAGACGAGGAGCUUGCUCCUCUGACGUUAGCGGCGGACGGGUGAGUAACACGUGGAUAACCUACCUAUAAGACUGGGAUAACUUCGGGAAACCGGAGCUAAUACCGGAUAAUAUAUUGAACCGCAUGGUUCAAUAGUGAAAGACGGUUUUGCUGUCACUUAUAGAUGGAUCCGCGCCGCAUUAGCUAGUUGGUAAGGUAACGGCUUACCAAGGCAACGAUGCGUAGCCGACCUGAGAGGGUGAUCGGCCACACUGGAACUGAGACACGGUCCAGACUCCAACGGGAGGCAGCAGUAGGGAAUCUUCCGCAAUGGGCGAAAGCGUGACGGAGCAACGCCGCGUGAGUGAUGAAGGUCUUCGGAUCGUAAAACUCUGUUAUUAGGGAAGAACAAAUGUGUAAGUAACUAUGCACGUCUUGACGGUACCUAAUCAGAAAGCCACGGCUAACUACGUG
rnacentral:rRNA from 1 species